rnacentral:rRNA from 1 species
CCUACGGGAGGCAGCAGUGGGGAAUAUUGGACAAUGGGCGCAAGCCUGAUCCAGCCAUGCCGCGUGGAUGAUGAAGGCCUUAGGGUUGUAAAGUCCUUUUAACGGGGAAGAUAAUGACGGUACCCGUAGAAUAAGCCCCGGCUAACUUCGUGCCAGCAGCCGCGGUAAUACGAAGGGGGCUAGCGUUGCUCGGAAUCACUGGGCGUAAAGCGCACGUAGGCGGCUUUCUAAGUCAGGGGUGAAAUCCUGGGGCUCAACUCCAGAACUGCCUUUGAUACUGGAGAGCUUGAGUUCGGGAGAGGUGAGUGGAACUGCGAGUGUAGGGGUGAAAUUCGUAGAUAUUCGCAAGAACACCAGUGGCGAAGGCGGCUCACUGGCCCGAUACUGACGCUGAGGUGCGAAAGCGUGGGGAGCAAACAGGAUUAGAUACCCGAGUAGUCC